AGCUCCAAUAGCGAAUCUUAAUGUUGUUGCUAUUAAAAAGCUCGUAGUCGAAUUUCUGGCCGGGAAAAGCCGAUCUAACCGUGCUGCUCCUAGGUCAUCCGUCUUUGAGGGCAUGCAGAUAUUCAUUUAUCUCGUGUCGGAUCUGGCAUUUUACUUUGAAAAAAUCAGAGUGUUUCAGGCAGGCUUUCGCUUGAAUACACCAGCAUGGAAUAAUGGAAUAGGGCUAGUAUUUCUUUGGUUCGUUAUAUUAGCAAUGAUUAAUAGGGACAGUUGGGGGCAUUCGUACUGGACAGCCAGAGGUGAAAUUCUACGACUUGUCCAAGACGAACUAAUGCGAAGGCAUCUGCCAAGGAUGUUUUCAUUG
rnacentral:rRNA from 1 species